rnacentral:rRNA from 1 species
CACGGGGGUUGCGAGCGUUGUCCGGAAUCACUGGGUGUAAAGGGCGCGUAGGUGGUCUGUUAAGUCUGGCGUUAAAGCCUGGGGCUCAACCCCAGAUCAGCGUUGGAUACUGGCAGGCUAGACGGUUGGAGAGGCGAGUGGAAUUACCAGUGUAGCGGUGGAAUGCGUAGAUACUGGUAGGAACACCCAUUGCGAAGGCAGCUCGCUGGACAACACGUGACACUGAGGCGCGAAAGUGUGGGGAGCAAACCGGAUUAGAUGCCCGCGUA